UUUACAAGCCUGCUAUUUUAAUUAAAACAUACAUGUCCAGCCCAGCCCACAAAAAAGAGAUAUUAACGUAUAUUUUUCAAUUGACGUUCUCUAUCUUCGAGUAACCAGAAUUUCCGGGUUUUUUUUUUGUUUUUCAGCUAUUCCGAUUUCCAUAUAUAUGAAUCAGAUCUCUUUUUCGUUUUCGGCGGAUUUAACUAUCUUCCAUAAUAGCUAGGCUUGAAGAAGACCUCAUGGUCUAAAGGUGGAGCUUUAGCCUCGAGAUAGGAUUAAGUCGAAAUCAUUAUAUAGGUGAUUCAACUAAAAGCAGCGGAUGAAUCUAUGGAGAGAUGGUUCCAAAGACAUGACUACAAGCUUCAUCUAAUAUGAAGAAUUCGACGCCGGCGUUUAGCUUCAGUAUUUGGUACAGAUCUCAUCGGCGAGAAGAAGCAAGAAGAAUCGAGAACAACACGUGUCAACAAAAGCUCAACGGUGACGCUUCGUAACAAGAUACGUUGGUUAAGGGAAGAACACGUGUCUAUGAUUCUUAUGGUUAUUUACAUUUAUUCCUAGUUUUUGCUUACGUGUUUGGAUUAACUUAAAAUUGGGCUUAAUUUAGCUUGUAUCAUGCUUUGUAAGUUUGUAUUAUGCCCAUUUUAAUUGGGCUUUUAAAUGAAAGAAAGGAAUGGCCGACAAAAAAAAAAUUGUAUA